rnacentral:siRNA from 1 species
UUAAAAGUGUUUUAAAAGAUUUA